GGAAGUGUGGGUGAGUGGCUGAAACCAACAGUUUGCUAAACUGUCGUACUCGCAAGGGUACCACGCGUUCGAAUCGCGUCGCUUCCGC
rnacentral:tRNA from 1 species